ensembl:lncRNA
UUCAAUUCUAAAAAUGUAAAAAAAAAAUUGCUUUAAUUUUCUUUUUGAGUUUCUUUCUUUCUUUUCGCAUGCAUUUCAGUAGUGGGAGACGAAAAACCUCACUGCACUCACACCUUUAAUUCAAACUGUACAAUGUUUGAUGAAAAGAGACUUUAUCUACAAUCUGUUCCCUCACUGGACAGCUGACACAAAGACCAAACUAACUUAACCUCAUUUUCUAGGAAUCCUCAGAUACACCAUAAGGAGCCCAGAUACGGAUCUAAAAAACAUCGGUCCAACCUGUCGUCAUGACUUCUGUUUCCAUUUGGGAGAUAUCGCGUCAUAGCCCAGGGGAAAUGGGGGGUGGUUGGAGGUUAUGAAGACAGAUGGAAGAGUUCCUAUUUGUUGAGCAGCCACCUUGUUUUGGUGGGACCUGUGUCAGCGAUUGGCUGUGCAGCUGUGGUGAAGGCUAUGAUUGAAAAUAAAGAGAGAAAAAUAGACUCGCUGACUGAUGACCUCGCAGCGGGACUGAACAUACAGUACACCGAAGAGUGUGUGAGACUGUUUUGGGGCCUCUUUUCCUUUUCUUAUGAGGUCCAAACAUCCGUGCAACCAGCUGGCAGCUUACCAUGCUAAUUAUGCUUCCAAACAAGCUGCUCAGAUGUCUUUAUACAGUAACCCAACAUGCAGCAUGUUUUCUGUACACUGUCUUUAAUCAUUUACCAGAAAAAAAACAUAGACUUAGUUUUAUACUUAUUCAAAUACAAACUCUUUUUUAACCACUUAGGGUGACCUUUGUAAGAAAUCAGUCAGAUUUAAGUGCACAUUCACAAUUCUGUACUUGUGAAGACCUUAAAUAUCUCAUUUUGACGGAUCUAUAUUCAUCACACAUAUUCUUCAACACCUUAAACUCAGUAAAUGGAAUGACAACAAUACUAUAAAUAUUACAUGAAAACAGCCAAAAAUGUCAGAAAUACAAAAAGAGAAAAUUUUAAUAAAGUUUAAUGUAAUCAUCUUUGGCAUUUUUACUGGCCUAUAGUUUUUUCAAAAAAACAACUGUAGUCAUUUCAUAAUGUGUGUUGAUUCAGACCAUUCAUCUAAGUGUCUUUGACUAAUACUUUGAUGCUAGCUGGUGAUAAAAAAGCUCUCAAACAAUACAUAUAAAUGUUAAUUACACAAUAUGUGUG